rnacentral:rRNA from 1 species
UACGAAGGGGGCUAGCGUUGCUCGGAAUUACUGGGCGUAAAGCGCGCGUAGGCGGAUUGAUUAGUCAGAGGUGAAAGCCCAGGGCUCAACCCUGGAACUGCCUUUGAUACUGUCAGUCUGGAGCAAGGUAGAGGCGAGUGGAAUUCCGAGUGUAGAGGUGAAAUUCGUAGAUAUUCGGAGGAACACCAGUGGCGAAGGCGACUCGCUGGACCUUUGCUGACGCUGAGGCGCGAAAGCGUGGGGAGCAAACAGG